UUGUAUCGCAUGUCCUUUUUUUUUAACAAACCAGAAAAGUGUAAAAAACCAUACAGUACUUGAGUGAUACGUAAUGUUUUAACAACAAAAAUACAGCACCCCCCUCCCCCCAUCUUGCCUCAAAAUGGUUUGAUCCUGCUCAACUUUCCCAACUCGGGCUCUGAGCCGCUACUUGCAGAGCUAAGCGCUGCCCCACAGAAGACAGACAGCCUCAUCAUGGACAUAAGAUUGUUUUUUCGAAGAAAAGAGCCGGGUUCAGCUGAAUACAAUCUAUUUGUGUAUGAUUGUCAGUCCAAAGAGGAAGAGAUGAAAAAGGAGAGGAGAGAGUGCAAAGUCAGGAAGAACCAGGAAGGGAACACGGAGAGACUCUGGGAGAUGAGAGCGUGCAGACCAGGGAAAGAAAUGCUGUGCAUCACAUUUCAAAUAAAAGUCAAAAAAUAA